GGGAAUAUGGCUUAGGGGUAGAGCGCUUGCCUGCCAUGUAUGAGGCCCUGGGUUCAAGUCCUCAGUACUA
rnacentral:tRNA from 1 species